GUAUUGAUUGCGUGUGACCGCAAAAACAAAACAUUCUAGACUGUAUCGAAUUUUGUGUGAAAACGUGAGCCCUCCUGCAAAGGGGGGACCCGCGCGGUGAUGCACAAAGGGGUGAGAUGGAUUUUGUGCGAGAGCGCUCGGGCGUGCACGACGAAAAAGUCAGCGACAGCCCUCGCGCCUCGGUUUUACGAUAAUGAUCCUUCCGCAGGUUCACCUACGGAAA
rnacentral:misc_RNA from 1 species